AGCAUAAACUUGCCCCCCCCCCCCCAGAUGUAGUCAGCCUGUCAUUGUGUUCACAGUUUCAUGGCUUAUGAAAUGUGUGAAUUAAUUUUCUUUGCCUUAUCAACUAUUAUUGUGUCAAAAUUCAUAACUCUGGCAGUUCUUUUGUAUUUUUGUUUUUCUUUUGUGUGUAUGUAUAUAAAAAUUUGAUGAUCUGUGAUCUUACUUGGAUGAUAACUUUUAGAACUAAGCCUUUCUUUUUGUUUCUGUUUACUGCCUCUUCUGUUUAGUAUUAGCAGGAUGGUUCUAGAGGUUGACUUGAGUGUUAGUUUAGUGAGCUGAAUAUGUAUGAGUUGAACCAGAGUUGUGCCAUUGCCAAUAAAUGUGUUUAUGUUGAAUUUUCUGGUUGGAGUUUGGUCAUAGAUGUUCUUGUGUUGACCUGAGGUGUCUUGUUGGCCAUACUGUGUUUGUAUUUACCUGAGCUGUAUUCUUGGCCAUAGAUGUUUGGGUUGUGGCCUUAUAUAUGCUUGCGCUGAUAUUGAUUGAAUUGUUGACCAUUGUUAGAUCUGUGUCAACCUGAAGUGUUAUCUAUUCAGUUGGAACAUGAAGACUUAAACUGAUGUCAGUUGUUUUAUACAACUUCUUUAACAUCUUUCUUGUUAUCUGCCAAGACCCAUCUUUUCACAGAAAGUUGUACUCUUGUCCAACCAAUCAUAGUUGUCUUUUCCUUUCUGGUUGGUUAAAUGAUCUUUUUUUUUUUUUGUCCUCUUUUCCAGCUUGUGUUUUGUGUGAAUCAUUUCUGUGUCUGGGGUCAAGUUGUAUGUGAUCACAGUAGGGUGAGGGUAGAAAUGAUUAGACUGCUUGACAUGGUCCAGUUACCUAGACCUAGUACAUGUUGAUCUCAGCAUUCAUGAAAUAGUCAUGGUAGAAUGCUGUCUGGUAUUUCUUGGUUCAUGUCAAUACUCUCUGUUAUUUGUUUGUUGGUUCA